rnacentral:rRNA from 1 species
GACGAACGCUGGCGGCGUGCUUAACACAUGCAAGUCGAACGGAAAGGCCCUGCUUUUGUGGGGUGCUCGCGUGGCGCACGGGUGAGUAACCCGUGAGUAUCCUGCCCUUGACUUUGGGAUAUCUUCAGGCAACUGCGGCUACUACCGGCUAGGAGCUCCUGCUGCAUGGUGGGGGUUGGACCGUUUCGGCGGUUUGGGAUGGACUCGCGGCUUAUCAGCUUGUUGGUGGGGUAGUGGCUUACCAAGGCUUUGACGGGUAGCCGGCCUGAGAGGUUGACCGGCCACAAGGGGACUGAGAGACGGACCAGACGCGUACGGGAGGCAGCAGGCGAGAGUAUGGCACAAUGAGGGGGAGCGUGAGGCAGCAGCGCCGCGUGCGGGAUGACGGCCUUCGGGUUGGAAACCGCUGUCGGCUGUGACGAAGCGGGAUUGACGGUAAUGGGUAAAGAAGCACCGGCUAACUACGUG